rnacentral:rRNA from 1 species
CUCACCGCCCGUCACAUCACUUGAAGUCUGUUGCUCCCGAAGUCGCUGGCCGAACCCGUGAGGGACGGAGGCGCCGAAGGAGUGGCCGGUGAGAGGGGUG